rnacentral:rRNA from 1 species
GACGAACGCUGGCGGCGUGCUUAACACAUGCAAGUCGAACGGAAAGGCCCUGCUUUUGUGGGGUGCUCGAGUGGCGAACGGGUGAGUAACACGUGAGUAACCUGCCCUUGCCUUUGGGAUAACUUCAGGAAACUGGGGCUAAUACCGGAUAGGAGCUCCUGCUGCAUGGUGGGGGUUGGAAAGUUUCGGCGGUUGGGGAUGGACUCGCGGCUUAUCAGCCUGUUGGUGGGGUAGUGGCUUACCAAGGCUUUGACGGGUAGCCGGCCUGAGAGGGUGACCGGCCACAUUGGGACUGAGAUACGGCCCAGACUCCUACGGGAGGCAGCAGUGGGGAAUAUUGCACAAUGGGCGGAGGCCUGAUGCAGCAACGCCGCGUGCGGGAUGACGGCCUUCGGGUUGUAAACCGCUUUCGCCUGUGACGAAGCGUGAGUGACGGUAAUGUGUAAAGAAGCACCGGCUAACUACGUG